GAGCAAACAGGAUUAGAUACCCUGGUAGUNCACGCCGUAAACGAUGAGUGCUAAGUGUUGGUCUCAUAAGAGAUCAGUGCUGCAGCUAACGCAUUAAGCACUCCGCCUGGGGAGUACGACCGCAAGGUUGAAACUCAAAGGAAUUGACGGGGACCCGCACAAGCGGUGGAGCAUGUGGUUUAAUACGAAGCAACGCGAAGAACCUUACCAAGUCUUGACAUACUGUGAGGACGCAAGAGAUUGUGUUGUUCUGACCUUUGGUUAGACACAGAUACAGGUGGUGCAUGGUUGUCGUCAGCUCGUGUCGUGAGAUGUUGGGUUAAGUCCCGCAACGAGCGCAACCCUUAUAUCUAGUUGCCAGCAGUAAGAUGGGGACUCUAGAUAGACUGCCAGUGAUAAACUGGAGGAAGGUGGGGAUGACGUCAAAUCAUCAUGCCCCUUAUGACUUGGGCUACACACGUGCUACAAUGGAUAGGAACAAAGAGAAGCGAGCUCGCGAGAGUAAGCAAACCUCACAAAACUAUUCUCAGUUCGGAUUGUAGUCUGCAACUCGACUACAUGAAGCUGGAAUCGCUAGUAAUCGCGAAUCAGAAUGUCGCGGUGAAUACGUUCCCGGGUCUUGUACACACCGCCCGUCACACCACGAGAGUUUGUAACACCCGAAGACGGNGGCCUA
rnacentral:rRNA from 1 species